GUGGGGCUCUGGGCUCAGCAUGGCAUGAGGUCCUACCUCCUUAAAAAAAAAAAUUAUUCUGAUUUAUUGCAUGUUUUUUCAGGGACUUAAAGUGAUAAACCCCUACUUUCAUAGAGCUUCGAUAUUUUCCUAAUGACUUAAUUGUCCCAAAAGCAUCUCCAACUAAAAGGAAGUAUCCAAAAUUGUUACCUACUAAAGAUGAAAGAAAGUGAUCAUCGAGUUGUAAGAAUCUCCUCGAGAUUUGCAGACAUCAAGAUUCAUUCCAGGGAAUUUUCCUAAGGAGAGACAAAUCUUCCUGUGUAGUAUCUGCCGUGAGCCUGGCUUCCUUGGGACACAUCUCCUGCCAGCCUGGCAGCACCACUGCCCAAGGGUGACAGUGCUCCCUCCCUGGGAACAGCCACCAAUCUUACCAAAACAGCAAGUUUUAGUAAAAAACGCUCUUCUGCACAGCUGGGAGCCUUGGGAAUGAAGCCCCAGCCUCCACAGACAGGGAGAGAUGAAGAGCCCCUUAAUUUGAGCCUUCUCCUUGGUGUUGACUUGCCCAAAGGAGGAGUCUGGGGCGACCAGGCUCUCCAGGGAUGUCAGCAUUCCAUGGCCCAAGUGUAAUACAUUCUACUAAUACAGGGUAAGGAAUACUAGAAA